rnacentral:rRNA from 1 species
UACGAAGGGGGCAAGCGUUGUUCGGAAUUACUGGGCGUAAAGGGCGCGUAGGCGGUCAGCACAAGUCAGUUGUGAAAUCUCCGGGCUUAACUCGGAAAGGUCAACUGAUACUGUUUUGCUAGAGUGCAGAAAGGGCGAACCGGAAUUCUUGGUGUAGCGGUGAAAUGCGUAGAUAUCAAGAGGAACACCUGAGGCGAAGGCGGGUUGCUAGGCUGACACUGACGCUGGAGGCGCGAAAGCUAGGGUAGCAAACGGG